rnacentral:rRNA from 1 species
AUUGAACGCUGGCGGCAGGCCUAACACAUGCAAGUCGAGCGGAGCGGCGGACGGGUGAGUAAUGUAUGGGGAUCUGCCCGAUAGAGGGGGAUAACUACUGGAAACGGUGGCUAAUACCGCAUACUAUCGGAUGAACCCAUAUGGGAUUAGCUAGUAGGUGGGGUAAAGGCUCACCAAGGCGACGAUCCGUAACUGGUCUGAGAGGAUGAUCAGUCACACUGGAACUGAGACACGGUCCAGACUCCUACGGGAGGCAGCAGUGGGGAAUAUUGGACAAUGGGCGAAAGCCUGAUCCAGCCAUGCCGCGUGUGUGAAGAAGGUCUUCGGAUUGUAAAGCACUUUAAGUUGGGAGGCGUUACCGCAGAAGAAGCACCGGCUAACUCCGUGCCAGCAGCCGCGGUAAUUC